rnacentral:rRNA from 1 species
GAUGAACGCUAGCUACAGGCUUAACACAUGCAAGUCGAGGGGCAGCACGGAGAUAGCUUGCUAUCUUGGGUGGCGACCGGCGCACGGGUGAGUAACGCGUAUCUAACCUGCCCAUUACCCUGGGAUAGCCUUGCGAAAGUAAGAUUAAUACCGGAUGUUGUUAAAAACCCGCAUGAGUUUUUAACCAAAGAUUUAUUGGUAAUGGAUGGGGAUGCGUGACAUUAGGUAGUUGGUGAGGUAACGGCUCACCAAGACUACGAUGUCUAGGGGUUCUGAGAGGAAGGUCCCCCACACUGGAACUGAGACACGGACCAGACUCCUACGGGAGGCAGCAGUGAGGAAUAUUGGUCAAUGGACGAGAGUCUGAACCAGCCAAGUAGCGUGCAGGACGACGGCCCUCUGGGUUGUAAACUGCUUUUAGUUGGGAAUAAAAAGAGGGACGUGUCCCUAAUUGUAUGUACCAUCAGAAAAAGGACCGGCUAAUUCCGUGCCAGCCGCCGCCGUAAAAC